AUGUCAAAUCAUCAUGGCCCUCAUGCCCAGGGCUACACACGUGCUACAAUGGCCGGUACAAUGGGCUGCCACCCCGCGAGGGGGAGCGAAUCCCCAAAACCGGUCCCAGUUCGGAUCGAAGGCUGCAACUCGCCUUCGUGAAGCCGGAAUCGCUAGUAAUCGCGGAUCAGAACGCCGCGGUGAAUACGUUCCCGGGCCUU
rnacentral:rRNA from 1 species